CUCGUGUCUAAAUGAAGCCGGUAUUUCUCAGUGGCUGGUGCAGCUGAGGGAGGCUUCGGGUGGCUUCGGGUGGCUUUCCCCGGGGCUGCUCAGCUCUUUAGCCUUUGCAGAUCCCCUUGGGACUCUCAGCAUUGGAAAUAAACAAGAAAUUGGGAGGCUAGUCCUUACAGAACAGUGGCUUUCAAAAUAUGGUCCCUGGGCCAGCAGCAUCAGCAUCACUGGAAGUUGUUAGAAAUGGAUAUUCUCCAGCCCCACCCCAGAUCUACUGAAUUGGAAACUCUGGUUGCGGGGUUCAGCAAUCUGUGUUUUAAUAAACUCUCCAGGCAUUCCCAUAAUGUGUAUGUGGACCCAGAUCACUGCAGCAUGCUCCUGGAAAUCCAAAUGACCAAGAAGGAUUGCAACAUCAAGGACAAGGAAGGGAUAAGAUUUCAGGAUAAAUCAUCUCAAGUCUGGGGUGAGAUUUACUGCCUUCUUAAAAAGCUCACAAGAUUUCAAGUGGUGACCCAAAAGUCUAUUCCUGAGGCCUCCUGCCUGCACAUAAAAACUGACACAAUGAG